GUUCGUUAAGAACAGCUGCCGAAGACAGCAGGUACAUCAAAGAUGUGUAAGUGUGAACGCCUGCCGAGGGAUGUAAUUAUUUUUAAGAAUAUUACGGUCUGAACUCUAGCAGUUUCAGGUCUUUUUUUAUCGUAAU
rfam:Catonella morbi ATCC 51271 genomic scaffold Scfld0, whole genome shotgun sequence.